rnacentral:rRNA from 1 species
UACGUAGGUGACAAGCGUUGUCCGGAUUUACUGGGCGUAAAGAGCGCGCAGGCGGUCGAUCAAGUCGAGUGUGAAAGCCCACGGCUCAACCGUGGAGGGUCAUUGGAAACUGGGGGACUUGAGUGCAGGAGAGAAGAGUGGAAUUCCACGUGUAGCGGUGAAAUGCGUAGAGAUCGGAAAGAACACCAACGGCGAAAGCACUCUGCUGGGCCGACACUGACACUGAGAGACGAAAGCUAGGGGAGCGAAUGGG